ensembl:processed_transcript 1810010K12Rik RIKEN cDNA 1810010K12 gene
GUGCUUUGGGAGAAUAAUUAAGUUUAAUAGGAAUAGGUCUGGAGGGUUUUCAAUGCCAAGACCACAGGUGCGGGGUGGCAUGAUGAAUGAUUUGCCUGAUUUUUGCCAAGCUCAAGGGCUCUUCUCUUGGACUUUCAAGCAGAUAGAAAAUAUUGUCAUUUCUUUUAAUUCACAGCAUUACUUUCAAACCGAACAAAGGCCGGAGCCGGGGGGAGGCGGGGGAACGGCCCGGCUGUACUGAAGCGUUUCGGAGGCGGAGGUGCAGCCCAAGAGGCUGAGGCGGCAACGGAGCGCGCUGCUGCGUUUGUGCGCAAGUGACACUCCUGUGCCACACACAAAAGGCCUUCUUCUCCCCACCUUCUGCUGCUUUUCAGCCCUCGGGCCCCUGCCAAACCGGCUCAUAGGACGCCCGGGGGCUCCUGGCCCCCUAUCCAGGGCAACUCAGCCUUUGGGACAUCCAUCGCUGCCAAGGCAAACCUCUCCAAACUUUCCCCAAACUCGGACGGCUGGGGAGGGACCCUGGCUGGAGGCGCGCAUGCGCCCCGUCUGCUGCUGCCAGUUCCCAGGGUUCCGGAGAGCCGGGGUGGAGUUGGAGGUGUAGCCCUAGAGGCCUGCCUAACCCCUACUAUACCAAAAGUCGGGGUUCGGGUGCGGUCUGUCCGCCCAGGAGGCAGGAAGCAGCUGCCCGGCACCAGCUCUCCACCAUUUUUCUACCUUUGCGCAUGGAAAUCUCCAAAAAGGGAUCCAAGAAGCGGCGAGUUGAACUGGGGGUCAUCGGCCUGGAAGAAGCCGGGAAUCAGAGCCCAAGACUUCUUCUAAGGAGGCCCCAGGUCCCUGCGCCCCACUGACCUGGCAGGGAGCCUCGGGCAUUCCUGCUGCUUCAGGUCGGAUGGCCAGGAACGCAGGUUCUUGGCGGGCUGGUUUUGCCUGGUGGCCUGAGCGCCCGCAUUAGCGGCCACAGUGGUCGGGGCACAACCUUCUUGCUGGUCCCAUUUUCGGGCUCUUUGGGGUCUACUGUUGCUUCCCAGAGAGGUUUGGCCUCUGAAUGAUCCUCUCAAAUUAAUGUCAGCAGGUUUCCUGGUGUGUCCACAUCUGUUCCAAACAACCUGUUGCGCUGGCGUUGCGUUGGAAAGGCACUGGCACUUUACUUGAGGGAAGCAGGUUGUGUUGCUUGUCCGGGCUUCCAGGACAGGAUUUAAGGUUCUCUCUUAAUGAGAGGCACCCCUCUCCUCCUCCAGUGAUACCUGGCGUGCUUCAUUCACCCUGUCCUUGUCCCAACAAUUCAAGGCACCUGGGCACCCUUGUACCUUGCCUCCUCUAGGG